rnacentral:tRNA from 1 species
GGCCCCUUGGUCUAGUCAGGCACGACGCCGCGUUCUCAGCGCGGAGAUCGCCGGUUCAAAUCCGGCAGGGGUCACCA